rnacentral:rRNA from 1 species
AUUGAACGCUGGCGGCAGGCCUAACACAUGCAAGUCGAGCGGAUGAAGGGAGCUUGCUCCUGGAUUCAGCGGCGGACGGGUGAGUAAUGCCUAGGAAUCUGCCUGGUAGUGGGGGAUAACGUCCGGAAACGGGCGCUAAUACCGCAUACGUCCUGAGGGAGAAAGUGGGGGAUCUUCGGACCUCACGCUAUCAGAUGAGCCUAGGUCGGAUUAGCUAGUUGGUGGGGUAAAGGCCUCCCAAGGCGACGAUCCGUAACUGGUCUGAGAGGAUGAUCAGUCACACUGGAACUGAGACACGGUCCAGACUCCUACGGGAGGCAGCAGUGGGGAAUAUUGGACAAUGGGCGAAAGCCUGAUCCAGCCAUGCCGCGUGUGUGAAGAAGGUCUUCGGAUUGUAAAGCACUUUAAGUUGGGAGGAAGGGCAGUAAGUUAAUACCUUGCUGUUUUGACGUUACCAACAGAAUAAGCACCGGCUAACUUCGUG